AUUGAACGCUGGCGGAAUGCUUUACACAUGCAAGUCGAACGGCAGCACGGACUUCGGUCUGGUGGCGAGUGGCGAACGGGUGAGUAAUGUAUCGGAACGUGCCCAGUCGUGGGGGAUAACGUAGUGAAAAUUACGCUAAUACCGCAUACGAUCUAUGGAAGAAAGCGGGGGAUCGCAAGACCUCGCGCGAUUGGAGCGGCCGAUAUCAGAUUAGGUAGUUGGUGGGGUAAAGGCCCACCAAGCCAAAGAUCUGUAGCUGGUCUGAGAGGACGACCAGCCACACUGGAACUGAGACACGGUCCAGACUCCUACGGGAGGCAGCAGUGGGGAAUUUUGGACAAUGGGCGAAAGCCUGAUCCAGCCAUUCCGCGUGCAGGAUGAAGGCCCUCGGGUUGUAAACUGCUUUUGUACAGAACGAAAAGGUUUCUACUAAUACUAGGAGCUCAUGACGGUACUGUAAGAAUAAGCACCGGCUAACUACGUGCCAGCAGCCGCCGCGG
rnacentral:rRNA from 1 species